GGCAGCGUAGCGUAGUGGUAAAGGUGCAGGGCUCGUGACUGAGAGGUUGCUGGUUUGAUUCCCCGCUGGGG